rnacentral:lncRNA from 1 species
UUUUUUUCAAGAAAAUUUACAGUAUCUAAAAGAUCCAAGAAUAUAAUUAGGUCCAAGAAUCGGCUCAAGAAUCAUCUCUCAGGCAGCUGUGCUUGUGUAGUUAGGGAAGAGGUUGACCAAAGUGUCAAGAGCAUCAGGAUGAAACUUCCUUGCAAACAGAUAACAAGGUCGCGUGAUCCCAUUCCAUGUACAAGGCCAAUGCAGCUCAUCUCCAUGCUUCAAAAACCACAAGUAAAAGUGAGAAAGAAAGAGAUAACAGAAGGCAACGAGAAAGAAAGUUUCAAGAGCAUACCUCUCCCACACUUGUGACGUGUGUACUCAUUUCCUCAGACUGCACAAGCGCAAAAUCAAGAAAAGUUAGAAUAAGAAGCUAAUUGUGAUUAAUUUUCGAAGAGAUUUCGUUUCAAAACAUUACCGUGACAUUUUUUAUGAACUCUAAUGAUAUCUCAUUUGCUGUGUAAGUCUUUGGAUGCCACCUUCUUUCAGACCAAUCAACAUACGUUACUGACCAGUUCGAGAUCCCCAUGGGAUCAAGCAUCUGAAAGACGAAGAUUCAGCAAAUAAAGAAAAUGUUAGAGCAACAAGAAGGCUUUAAAGAUUGCAAAAGAUAGGGGUGUUCUUCCUCACACUGAAGAAUGUUGGCAAGUAAUGUUCAUCAGCAAUACAGUUCUUGUCUGCCUCUAUCCCUGGCUGAAAUUUUUAGUAAAUUUCUUGAUCAAAAUCAGACCUCAGGACGAAGAAACUGGAAAAUUUAUCAAAAGGUCUUACACCACAAUACUCGCGGAAUUUUGAGUAGUAGAGACCAUCAGCCAUCACUAUAAUCGCGUGUUGUCGCUUCAUUGUGAACCACUGAUCAGAAGAAAAGAAGAAAGUUACACUACAAAAGUAGCAACCAUACUAACUCAGACAUACUCUUAGAGAUUGAAGCUUUGUUUUUUUUACCUGAGCACCCUUUCUAAAAUCUUCCCUAGCAAUUUCAGGUAACAUGUGUUCCAUGUGUCUACCAGUACCAUGUUGUCCAGGAUCCACAAAACUUGAGAAACAUAGAAAAUUGAAGCUUGUGUCAUUAAUGGAUAACUCAAAACUUUUUUUCUUUUGAUUUAAGUGAUUAAUUUUACCUCUCAAUGAAGCUGAUGUUGGAGUAUAGCAAAUAUCUGUAGGUGUAGUCAAAAGUAUGCAACGGUAUACAACUGCACAGAAGAAUAAAGUUAAUGUGAUUUUGAUUUGUGCAAGAAAACCUUGAUAGGGACACUUGAGCAAGAUUGCAUCAUUACAUCAAGGUUAUUGAAUUCAAAGUAAGUUUUUAUUUUGGAUUUAUUUUAUUAAAAAUUUCAGUAUUUAAUUAGAUUUUAUUAAUUCGGUUUAAUUCGGUAUUUUAGAGUAUGGUGUUACACUAUUUAUAGUUAUAUUUGACUACAUAUUAUUAUAUUUUUCAAAAAUAUUUUAUUUUAAUAUGUUUCAAAUAGUAUAUUUUAUUAAUUUUGAAAGUUUAGUGAUUAUAGUUAAUUAUUAUAAUUUUAAAGACUAAAAUAUAAAUUUUUAAUUUUUCUAAAAUAAAUUUGAAGAUGGCUGUUGGAAAAUUACUCCCUCAUCCCCUUAUUUUAAGGGUAGAUCUCAAUAAAAAUGAGGGUGCUUGCGGGAGAUGCCCUUAUGCACUUUUGGAUUUUUACUUUUGAAAUAUUAAUUUCCAAAUUGUCGUUAUAUAUAACAGGUAAACAUUUAUAUUUCAUACCAUAUCACGUCAUUUACCAAUAAUUUGUUCAAAAUUGUGAUUACGAUUUGUUUUCCUUUAAAAUUUAUUAAUCAUAUUCUUUGAACGUAAAGCUGCCACCUCAGCUGAACCAACCAAGAUCACAGCUUCAAUGUUACGGGGAGAUGAUCUACAGCUUUUGCGGUCAGGAUCUCAUAGGAGAAUGCAGCCGUCGCGAUCUUCCCAUCGAACGGCUCAAAUCGGUCGUGGCGUGGAACAUCUCCACACUCCGUCCGAUAGUCUUUGGCAUGUCACCGUACAACCCCGUUCUUGGCGAGACUCACCACGUCUCCCACGGUCACAUCAACGUCCUCACCGAACAAGUAUAACCUUUAUUUAUUGCAAUCGUAACACAUAUUGAUACCAUGUCACGUCAAAUAUUUUGUGGUUGUUAACUUGUUAUGUUUCAGGUAUCGCAUCAUCCUCCGGUGUCGGCACUUCAUGCGACUCACGAGAAUGAAAAUAUUGACGUGACAUGGUGUCAAUAUUUCACUCCUAAGUUCCGUGGUAUGUUUCGUUCUUACAUCCCCAGUAUCUCAAAACAACCAUUUUUUUUACAAUCAAACAACGGCUAUUUCACUACCAAACCCAAAACAGAACAACCAACGAACCCAAAAUCCCUAUAAAACGUUAUAACAGUAACUAAGAAAUCUGAAAACAACCGUCAACACUAUGAUAUAUAUUUUCUAAAACGGAAGCAUCACGUUUUGGCUUUGAAAUCUAACUCUAGAUCUAAUUUGUGCGUGUACUCAUGGUUAACAAGGUGCUUACGUAGACGUUGAGGUAAAGGGCAAAAGGACAAUGAAGCUUCUGAAUAGGAAAGAGACUUACGAGAUGGACCAACCAAGGCUUGUUGUGAGAUUCUUACCUGCUCCUGGAGCUCACUGGACCGGGAAAAUCAAGAUAAAGUGUCCAGAGACUGAUCUCGAAGCCGAACUACACUUGAUAUCUGAUUCAUUCAUCGAAAGAUUCAAAGGCAACAACAAUAGAUCAAUCAAAGGAAAGAUCUCUCAGACUUCCUCCGGAGAUAAGCUCUAUGACAUCUCUGGCCAUUGGGACAGGUAAGUAGUAUAUGAAUCAAAGAGUCAUUACAGCUCUCUAAGAACAUCAUUAACAUCUCAUAAUGUUUCAGAACAAUAUCGGCUAAAAACCUGAAGACCGGUGAGGUCGAAGUUAUAUACAAUGCUAAGGAGAGUAUCUCAGGACUCAGACCUCCAACUGUGAAGAACCUGAAAGAGGUAAUGGAGAGCGAGUCUGCGAUGGUGUGGAGUGAAGUAAGUGAGAAGAUACUGAAUAAAGACUGGGAACGAGCAAGAGAAGCGAAGAAAGCUGUGGAGGAGAAACAGAGAGAGUCUCUGAAGCGGAGAGAGGCUUCUGGUGAGUCUUGGGUUCCCAAGCAUUUCUCAGUGGUUAGAAACGGUAAAGACUGGGACUGCUCACCGCUUCAGCCAACGGUUCCCCGAGCUCCACUUGUCAUCACAGAAGCACAAGAAGAAAACAUGAACUGAUAUCAAGAUUAAAGACUUUAAGCUUACUACUAUGUCAUGUAACAUAUACUUAUUGAUAUAGACUGAACCAAAGUGAAAAUCGCAAAAUAAAAUUCUUUUUAAUCAAAACUUUCUGCUCUAAUUGCGUAUAAGCGGAUUUCAGUUUCACCAAGAAACAUCAACUUCCAAGAAUCAUUUCAGCUUUUUUUCAAGAAAAUUUACAGUAUCUAAAAGAUCCAAGAAUAUAAUUAGGUCCAAGAAUCGGCUCAAGAAUCAUCUCUCAGGCAGCUGUGCUUGUGUAGUUAGGGAAGAGGUUGACCAAAGUGUCAAGAGCAUCAGGAUGAAACUUCCUUGCAAACAGAUAACAAGGUCGCGUGAUCCCAUUCCAUGUACAAGGCCAAUGCAG